ACAUCUUGUGGGAGGUGCUCACUGAUAAAGGUAUUAUCAGUCUUACAGAGCCAAAAAACUGCCCCAAACUGGAGUUUGUUUGGCUUGCACCGCCUUGUUUUGGCUACAACAGGAUCCACAGCUGUGUGUGCUGCCUAAGAAAUUCUUUAAAACACAACAACUGAGCCCUGGUCAAAUGCUCUGGCACCACCUGAGGCUUGUUGUGAAGGAGGGGGAGCAUUUUUGAGAAGUUGUGUAUAUUGAAAAAGAAUUUCUUUCAUCUUUCCCUCAUCAUUCUUUGCAGGGACUUCCAGAGCCUCUCUCUACUCAGUUCAAGAGCAACUUCAUCUCUAUUGUGAAAAGUUGAUCCUGGAGAGGCAGGAUGUGCUCUGCUCUCUUUAAAUCCAGCAGGAGCUGCAGGGAAGGGUAAAGCAACAUCUCUGGGCCCUGAGAAGGAUGAGGAGAAGUGCAGUCACUGAGGAGUGAAGUGUGGGAGAAGCAAGAGGACUGAAGUGCCAGGAGAAUUUAAUUUCACAAUUCACCCCAGGGCUUGGGAAAGAAGAAGGGGACUGCAGCAGCCCUGGGUCUGAGCAAGGAAGGAAAAGCAGUUGAGCCACUGGAGGUGAGAGCAGUGACUGUGCCAGUAUUAGGAUUGGAUUUGAUGUAUCUGAUCAGCACCAGAUUCCCCCCAAACCCAAAACUGAUGUGUUUUAAAUGCAGGAAAGCCAUCAAAACCCACAGGGAGCUGUAUUUCAGCUGUGUGAAUCUGUGUGAAUGACUAAAGCAAACACCCCAGGAGCCUAAACCAACAUCCACCCCCAAAAACCCCUAAACUCCUUCCUGGUAAUAAGAAACUCACUUAUCUGGUGUACUUUGGCCCUGAUUCUGCAAUCUUUCUUGGAACAGAGGCUCAGGAUUUCAGAGGAGGUUCAGUCUGACAUGAAAAAUGACAUUUCAAGUUCACAAAUCUUUAGGUUAACCUGGAAGCUCUGAGGUUUGAAGGAGAUGCCCCAGCAAAGGACCAUCAUCUUUUUGGUGUGGUUUCCUAAGGAUUUAAGGCCUGGAGGAUUGCUCCCAGUUCAACCAGCCUUGGCAGAGAGACAGAAAUACUGAAGAUAGUGUAAUCCUCCAGAUUUCUAAAGUGAUCAAGGACUGAGACUAAAACAACAUCCCUCAGAACGGCCCAAUGACAACGUGACUCCACUUCACUCCGUGUGCUCAGUUCAGACACAGAUUUAGACAAAACCUGGCUUCAGCACUGUUGGUGCUCUGCUUUUCUCCGUCCUGGCUCCCUCUCCUGAGCCUGUGGGGUGAGGAUGGGCAGUGCCAGGGGCUGGGUGUCCCUGGUGUCCCCUGCAGCCGGACACUCACCGCAAUGAUGCCCACGGUGACCUUCAGGCAGCCCCAGACCACGCCCGUGGCUGAGAUGAUGUUGUGCAGCAGCGUCACCUCGUGCAGGCUGAUCAGGA